rnacentral:misc_RNA from 1 species
GAUGAAGAACGUAGCGAAAUGCGAUAAGUAAUGUGAAUUGCAGAAUUCAGUGAAUCAUCGAAUCUUUGAACGCACCUUGCGCUCUUUGGUAUUCCGAAGAGCAUGCCUGUUUGAGUGUCAUGAAAAUAUCAACCUUGACUUGGGUUUUGUGCUCUAGUCUCGGCUUGGAAUUGGGUGCUUGCCGCUUUUACGAGCGGCUCACCUUAAAUGUAUUAGCUGGAUCUGUCUUUGAGACUUGGUUUGACUUGGCGUAAUAAGUAUUUCGCUAAGGACAUUCUUCGGAGUGGCCUCGUUUCUAGGACGCUUGUCCGCUUUCCAAUACAAGUUCCACCUCGUGGACAUGACUUUUUAUUAUCUGGCCUCAAAUCAGGUAGGACUACCAGCUGAACUUAAGCAUAUCAAUAAGCGGAGGA